CACGUAGGCACCAAGCGUUGUCCGGAUUUAUUGGGCGUAAAGAGCUCGUAGGCGGUUCGGUAAGUCGGGUGUGAAAUCUCGGGGCUUAACUCCGAAACUGCAUUCGAUACUGCCGUGCUUGAGGACUGGAGGGGAGACUGGAAUUUACGGUGUAGCGGUGAAAUGCGUAGAUAUCGUAAGGAAGACCAGUGGCGAAGGCGGGUCUCUGGACAGUUCCUGACGCUGAGGCACGAAGGUCAGGGGAGCAAACGGG
rnacentral:rRNA from 1 species